ACAGCAUUCUGCUUGGGAGCUGCCUCCUUGGAAGUAUUGGGAGUGAGUUCUGCCCUUUGGAAUGGGGUCUGUCAGCAGAAGGAGCAGCAACUGCACCUGGAGAUUGCUUCCUUUAGAGCGUGGGGUGAACCCUUGAAACUGGGACUGUGACCUUUCCUGUUUUUGGGGCAUCCUGACCACAUUGAAGUGCUGGCAGAUGUAAGGGCAGCAUUGAUCUCUAGAGACUGUCUCCUGUGGAGCAGGGGGACUUCACCUGACUGCCUCGACUUCUCAAAUACCACUGAGAGUGGCUCGGUGACUGCAGCGGUGAAUUCCCUCAGGGCUCUGGGACUCGUCUCAUCAGGACCCAAAGACUCCUGGAUGUCAGGUUCUCAGGUGGCUGCGGAGUUGCAGCGCUCCCGAGUGCCGUAACGACUGCAUGGAGAUGCGUGGCUCUUCAUGGGAACAGCAAGGAACCGGAAUCUGCAUUUCCUGGAAUGCCCCAGAGCCUCGCUUUGCUGGCUGGUAAUUGUCUGCCCAGCAGGUGGCAGCAGAGCUGCGUUGCUCCUGAGCACUUUAAGGACAGCACGGAGAUGCGCGGCUCUUCCAUGGCAGCAGCAGAAACUGGAAUCUGCAUUUCCUGGAAUGCCCCGGAACCUCGCUUUGCUGGCCGGUAAUUGUCUGCCCAGCAGGUAAGGGCAGUGCUCACCCACCAUUGUAUACUCAUUACUUACUGAGGCACAAGGUAGGGUUCCCAGAGCUCAUUUCUGCACUUCAUGGUGCCCUGAAUGCUGUCUGUCCUUUUCUUUCUGUGUUCUCCUCACCUCCAGC